ACGAUCUGCCCCCUUAUCGGCUGCUGCUAGAACGUUCCUCGAAGAAAAUUGGUUGGGUGUGGUGUCUUUGACCACCCUAGUAAAAUUUUUAGACCAUGUUUGGAUUCACCCAACUAAAGUUUAGCUAAAGUUUGGUUAGGAUGAGCUAAAUGAUAGUUGAAGAGUUAUUUGUCUAUCCUACCCCUCUCUUCCACUUUAGAAACUUUUUUCGAGAAAGGUGGAGGGACAAUUUAGUUUUUAUCAAAGAAUCUUUAGCCAACUAAAUUUUAGCUGGGUCUUGUUUGGAUCCAUAGCAGUUAAAAUUAGCCAACUAAAAUUUAGCUGGUAGAUUCAAA
rnacentral:lncRNA from 1 species